rnacentral:tRNA from 1 species
UGGAAGGUGGCUCAGUGGUAGAGCGCUUGCCUUGCAUGCAUGAGGCCUGGGGCCUUGCAU